ensembl:miRNA
UGCCCGGCCUCCCAUUUUGGUUUUUCAGACAAAUCACAAGUUUGUUUAGGUAUAAGUAUAUCCCAUGUAAUCUCUGGGACAUACUUAUGCGAAAAUAAUUGUUCCUUGUUUAUUGGAAAUUUUAAUUUUAAUUAGGUGUCCUGUAUU